GACGAACGCUGGCGGCGUGCUUAACACAUGCAAGUCGAGCGGAAAGGCCUUUCGGGGUACUCGAGCGGCGAACGGGUGAGUAACACGUGAGUAAUCUGCCUUCGGCUCUGGGAUAGCCACCGGAAACGGUGAUUAAUACCGGAUAUGACGCGUCCCUGCAUGGGGGUGUGUGGAAAGUUUUUUCGGCUGAAGAUGUGCUCGCGGCCUAUCAGCUUGUUGGUGGGGUAAUGGCCUACCAAGGCUUCGACGGGUAGCCGGCCUGAGAGGGUGACCGGUCACACUGGGACUGAGACACGGCCCAGACUCCUACGGGAGGCAGCAGUGGGGAAUAUUGGACAAUGGGCGGAAGCCUGAUCCAGCAACGCCGCGUGAGGGAUGACGGCCUUCGGGUUGUAAACCUCUUUCAGCACAGACGAAGUUUUGUUCUUUUGGGCGAAGUGACGGUAUGUGCAGAAGAAGGACCGGCCAACUACGUGCCAGCAGCCGCAGUAACA
rnacentral:rRNA from 1 species